rnacentral:lncRNA from 10 species
GUAGGUUAGUCAUAAAGCCACAUUCACUCUCUUGCUUUCUCUGUCGCAUGCACUCUCUUGCCCUUCCACCUAGUUUCCAUGUUAUGAUGCAGCAAGAAGGCCCUUGCCAGAUGUGGCUCCUGGAUUGUGGACUUUUCAGCCCCCAGAACUGUGAGCCAAACAAACUUCUUUUGUUCAUAACUUCCCCAGUCUGUGAUAUCCUGUUACAGCAGCAGAAAAUGGACUAAGACACCCAGGGAUGUACCUGGAACCUGGAAAAAGGGGCAGAUCUGCAUCACGGGCUUGCAUGUCCAAUUUCACCUUGGCACUUGCUUCUCCGAGGGUCUGGACAUGGGGCUUCGUUUGAGUCUGGAAGCAGUGGAGAGGGGCCAGAAGCUCCAGGCCUUGGCUUGGAGAUCUCUACAGGAAAGGAGGCACUGAGGGACUCACAUGAAGCUACUCUGUCAGCAUUCUAAAACUUCUGACAUUCUUUUCUAUGAAGAUAAUUGAAUCACCAAAUUUGAUGAAAUGUUCCCCAAAUAUCAGGUGAAAAAAACUCAUCUAAACCUUUGGACUUGGAAUUGCCCACAUAGACCACAUCAGCAAUGGAAGACAGAGCAAAUAACAUGUCGGUUCAAUGUAUGAAGGAGCUUUUCUUUCCCCUGCCCCAACCCUCAGACAGAACACCAGAGAAAGACUCUCCUUACCAUCCUCACUGCAACUAAACUUCGGGACCCUGGGCUUUGGGUUCAUGGUCUCGCCACUGAAAAGGUUCCCUCCACACUUUUGGAAUUGUGCACCCAUUGGAACCCUUGAGGUAAAGCUAACCAGAGAAAUUUCUCCCAAGAAGAAGAAGAUGGCAUCCUUGAAGUGAACAGCUUUUCCCAAGUUCACAGAGUAAGACUUCUACUAUCAUGAAACUCUUAUCUUUGAAUAUUUUUUCUUGCUUAUAUCUCUACUAACAAUAGAAGUGGAAAAAGGGUCUGUUAUGUGCACUUAUGGGGUAUACUUUUAUUUGUGAAGAAGUUUGCAGCCAGCCUUAUACAUGGAUAACCUUCUACUUUGAUAGAGAUGAAGGCCCAAUGCAGGUAAGAAACUUUAGUGGUACAUAUGUUGCCCCAUAAUCACUCAAAAACAAAAUAUUGGUUCAUCCCUCUUAACCCACAUCAUGGGUUAAAGAGAACAUUGCCAGGGGGUCUUCACUCUCCUAGAAGGGCAUCAUUUGUUAAGUCCUUUUUCCAUGGCUUAAAGUAAAGGAAGCAAUGAUUAGAAAUGUAUCCCUCAUGAUAGGCUCUAUAGCAAAUCUACUUUAAAGGCUAUCGUUACACAACAGAUUUUAAAUUCUCUUUGAAAGUUAUGCUAAAUAGAAUUGGCUAAACAAAGAAGUUCUUCUGCAGCUGCUGACACUUGCGGCCUAUGGAGAAACAGGUCAAAUGCAGAUUAUAAAAAUUCAGUGUAGGGGAUUAAUGAAAAGACCACUUAGUCAAGUGAGUAGACUCUUCAUCUAGCUCAUUCUUUAAACUAUUUAAGUGUAGGUGGUUUGGUUUCUAGGGACCCUGGUUAAGGAGCAUACUCUGAACUCUGGGUAUUUUCCUUCCAGUAGUGAUAAUAGUAGUCUCCUUGGUGCACUGUAUUCUCUCAAAGGUUUUAAAUGCUUGCAUGCAGCCAUCUCUAGAACAUCAAAUGGUCUCUCUUCGACUGGAAUGACAACAGCUGAAAGAAAUGUUCAACCAUGAGGACACCAUACCUAUAAAUGAUGUGCUGAGACUGGAAACCCAAAAUAGACCAUCAAGCUUCAGAUGAUGAUGCAACAAAGGUUUCAGCCAGUUCCAGGUGAAGACACCACCCUUGGACAUCAAGAAGCUACCCUGCCUCCACUAGAUAGAGCAGGGAGAGUUCUGUGAUCCCCAAUAGGGCCUUUGUAGACGCUAUCCCUUUGUGGAGAAGACUCUCAACACCCUUCAAAUACUAUGAUCUCAUCAGGAAGGCCCUCCCUGACCACCUAUGCCUGGCUGUUGUCUGAACAAUGAAUCCUGGAAGCACCUAGGAGAAGGCACCUAGGAGAAACGUCUUAGGGAGUAGUCCCGCGGGUCCGCCCCAGGACAGUAACGCUGUCAGUUUCCCCGCCCUUUGCACCUGUAGUGCAGACGGUACCAAAUGCGAUGGCUUUGAGACGUCCUCUAGACAUCGGAGCCCAUCAUUUACCACAAAGAACACUGAAGUACUUACUUUAGCAGAACAUUUUCCGAAGAAAAAUUAACAGGGAGAGGAAAUGAAGGACACUAACAAACAGACCCCAUCUCUAGAGUCUGAGAUCAAACCCAAGUCCGAUGGAGCCCGGGCAUCUGGUGGAGGAAAGCGGGCAGGCAUAGCCCCAAUCCUGGUCCUCAACAAGAUAUUUCUGUGAAUGAAUCCCUCUGCUCCCUGGAGGAGGGCACAUUACAUAUCCCUUUCCUAAAUCAGAACUGAAGCAAUUUGCCCAUCAUUCGCACACCUCGACAGGGAAAGGCAGGAUUCCAGUGUCUCAUCAGACCCGGGAAGAGGGGAAGGGUCGCUGGCGCAGUUACCUACUGGGUUUCCGGGAGCUAGGGAAAACGCCCCUGGGAAACGCAAGUGUUCAGCGCCACAUAAAACUUCCCCGGAUUUAGGGCCACCCUAAGACGGGCGAAAAGACUCUCCAGCGCCUUAGCAGGUGCAAAGCCAGCUGUCAGUGUGCGCAUGGCGAGUCCCCGUUCCCGAGAAGGGACGCAAAUGACCCUAGAAAAUCAGACAGGAGCAAAACAAACCCAAGAAUGACCCUCCACACACCACAAAGGCAAAAGCAAACAGAAGGCACCUAGACACACUCUGCAAAGUGUAGAACUGUCUACACUUGCAUGGAGG